rnacentral:rRNA from 1 species
GAUGAACGCUGGCGGCGUGCCUAAUACAUGCAAGUCGAGCGAACAGACGAGGAGCUUGCUCCUCUGACGUUAGCGGCGGACGGGUGAGUAACACGUGGAUAACCUACCUAUAAGACUGGGAUAACUUCGGGAAACCGGAGCUAAUACCGGAUAAUAUAUUGAACCGCAUGGUUCAAUAGUGAAAGACGGUUUUGCUGUCCCUUAUAGAUGGAUCCGCGCCGCAUUAGCUAGUUGGUAAGGUAACGGCUUACCAAGGCGACGAUGCGUAGCCGACCUGAGAGGGUGAUCCGCCACACUGGAACUGAGACACGGUCCAGACUCCUACGGGAGGCAGCAGUAGGGAAUCUUCCGCAAUGGGCGAAAGCCUGACGGAGCAACGCCGCGUGAGUGAUGAAGGUCUUCGGAUCGUAAAACUCUGUUAUUAGGGAAGAACAAAUGUGUAAGUAACUAUGCACGUCUUGACGGUACCUAAACAGAAAGCCACGGCUAACUACGUG